ACUCCAGCACUGCGCAGGGACCGGUGAGUGUCGCUUCUGGGGGCAGCGCCCAGUAACCGCGCUAGGAGCGCGGAGAAGGGCAUUGGGAGAGCGGCGUUCGUGGCGGAGACUAGCGCUCCGGAGCACGGGCACGACGGGGGCACCUUCUCGGCUGCUAGAAUUCUGUGGCCACACUGCGAGGAGAUCGGUUCUGGGUCGGAGGCUACAGGAAGACUCCCACUCCCUGAAAUCUGGAGUGAAGAACGCCGCCAUCCAGCCACCAUUCCAAG
rnacentral:lncRNA from 1 species